UGAGGAAUAUUGGUCAAUGGACGAGAGUCUGAACCAGCCAAGUAGCGUGAAGGAUGACCGCCCUAUGGGUUGUAAACUUCUUUUGUGUGGGAAUAAAGUGAGCCACGUGUGGCUUUUUGUAUGUACCAUACGAAUAAGGAUCGGCUAACUCCGUGCCAGCAGCCGCGGUAAUACGGAGGAUCCGAGCGUUAUCCGGAUUUAUUGGGUUUAAAGGGAGCGUAGGCGGGACGUUAAGUCAGUUGUGAAAGUUUGCGGCUCAACCGUAAAAUUGCAGUUGAUACUGGCGUCCUUGAGUGCGGCAGAGGCAGGCGGAAUUCGUGGUGUAGCGGUGAAAUGCUUAGAUAUCACGAAGAACUCCGAUUGCGAAGGCAGCUUGCUAGACCGUAACUGACGCUGAUGCUCGAAAGUGCGGGUAUCAAACAGGAUUAGAUACC
rnacentral:rRNA from 1 species